rnacentral:rRNA from 1 species
CCUACGGGUGGCAGCAGUGGGGAAUAUUGGGCAAUGGGCGCAAGCCUGACCCAGCAACGCCGCGUGAAGGAAGAAGGCUUUCGGGUUGUAAACCUCUUUUCUCAGGGACGAAGAAAGUGACGGUACCUGAGGAAUAAGCCACGGCUAACUACGUGCCAGCAGCCGCGGUAAUACGUAGGGGGCAAGCGUUAUCCGGAUUUACUGGGUGUAAAGGGCGUGUAGGCGGGGAAGCAAGGCAGAUGUGAAAACUUUGGGCUCAACCGGUGGCCGGCAUUUGAAACUGUUUGUCUUGAGUACUGGAGAGGCAGGCGGAAUUCCUAGUGUAGCGGUGAAAUGCGUAGAUAUUAGGAGGAACACCAGUGGCGAAGGCGGUCUGCUGGACUGCAACUGACGCUGAGGCUCGAAAGCGUGGGGAGCAAACAGGAUUAGAUACCCCGGUAGUC